CCUUUUUGGGUUUGGAUUAGAAUGCUAGUCGAGUGGCUCAGCCAAUACGAGCCACGGCAUACAGCUCAGUAACACGUGGCUAAUCUGCCCUUAGGACGAGAACAACCCCGGGAAACUGGGGCUAACUCUCGAUAGGCGAAGAACUCUGGAAUGAGUCUUCACCUAAAUAGUUCAGCGUUACGCUCGUUGGACCGCCUAAGGAUGAGGCCGCGACCGAUCAGGUUGUUGGUGAGGUAAUGGCUCACCAAGCCUUUAACCGGUGCGGGCCGUGAGAGCGGGAGCCCGGAGAUGGGCACUGAGACAAGGGCCCAGGCCCUACGGGGCGCAGCAGUCGCGAAAACUUUGCAAUACACGAAAGUGUGACAGGGCUAUCCCGAGUGCCAUCCGCUGAGGAAGGCUUUUACCCAGUCUAGAAAGCUGGGGGAAUAAGGAGAGGGCAAGUCUGGUGUCGGCCGCCGCGGUAAUACCAGCUCUCCGAGUGGUGUGGAUGUUUAUUGGGCCUAAAGCAUCCGUAGCUGGCUAAGUUAGUCCCCUGUUAAAUCCACCGAAUUAAUCGUUGGAUCGCGGGGGAUACUGCUUGGCUAGGGGACGAGAGAGGCAGACGGUAUUUUCGGGGUAGGGGUGAAAUCCUAUAAUCCCGGGGAGACCACCAGUGGCGAAGGCUGUCUGCUAGAACGCGCCCGACGGUGAGGGAUGAAAGCUGGGGGAGCGAACCGGAUUAGAUACCCGGGUAGUCCCAGCUGUAAACGAUGCAGGCUAGGUGUUUGGACGGCCACGUGCCGUUCUAGUGCCGCAGGGAAGCUGUUAAGCCUGCCGCCUGGGGAGUACGAUCGCAAGAUUGAAACUUAAAGGAAUUGGCGGGGGAGCACCACAAGGGGUGAAGCUUGCGGUUUAAUUGGAGUCAACGCCGGA
rnacentral:rRNA from 1 species